rnacentral:rRNA from 1 species
AGCGAACGCUGGCGGCAGGCUUAACACAUGCAAGUCGAGCGGGCAUCCGUGUGGUGUCCGCGGCAGACGGGUGAGUAACGCGUGGGAACGUGCCCUUCGGUUCGGAAUAACUCAGGGAAACUUGCGCUAAGACCGGAUACGUGCGAGAGGAGAAAGGUUUAUCUGCCGAAGGAUCGGCCUGCGUCUGAUUAGCUAGUUGGUGAGGUUAUGGCUCACCAAGGCGACGAUCAGUAGCUGGUCUGAGAGGAUGAUCAGCCACACUGGGACGGAGACACGGCCGAGACUCCUACGGGAAGCGGCAGUGGUGAAUGGUGGAAAACGGGGGCAAUCCUGAUCCAGCCAUGACGGGUGAGUGAUGACAGCCUUAGAGUUGUAAAGCGCUUUUCUCCGGGACGAUAAUGACGGUACCGGAGGAAUAAGCCCCGGCUAACUUCGUG